AAUUGUAUCAUGCAUUCAUAGUUAUAAUUGCCUCGUCAACACUUAUGAUUUUCAUUGAACGUAAUGAUCUCUAAUUGUAUCUCUAUUAUGCAUUCAUAUAGGGGACUUUUAGAGAAUAAUUUGGGUUGUCACAUGCAUUCAUCCAAUUCAAUGAGUAAAGGAAAAUCUGAGGGUUAAUUUGUGCAUCACGGUUAAUCUGGGGUGUUGAGCAUCAUAGUUUAUUGAAAAGCAAUUGGAAAUCAAUUCAUGUACAAGUGUGUCAUGUGUGAAGAACGGACCUCUAACUAAUCCAUCCAUCAUCUCAUUUCUUAAAUUCGCUUUACAAUCUGUCUAAUUUUAUAAGUUAUUUGUUCGUUUCGAAUUCGUCAAAACCAAAAUCCCCCUUUUACUUUGUUGUUUCAAAGUGUUAAAUUUAUAUUUCGUUAGUGUUUUUGAGUGUUUUGAUUCAAGUCAAAACCCAAAUUUAGUCCAAAGUUGUGUUAGAGUCAAAUCUGCCCAGUAAGUGUUUUUAGGCAAUUUUGAGUGUUUUUUAAGUUAUUUUGCAUCUUUAGAAUCUGUUUUGAGUCAUUUGAGUCUAUUCAAACGUUUUUAACUUUGUUUUUACGUCUUUGAGUUAGUUUAGAGGUUUUAGCAAGCCCUCCUAAUCCCCGGUUUAGAACGAUCCCUACUUGCAUUUAUACUACAAUUUGACAACAAGAACGAUCCUUAGAACGAUCCCAGGUGAAUUGGACUUCGUCCCAAGUAUGAAAGUUCUUCCUCUUAUUGUGCUCUACAUUCCUGUAAACUUUGGUAAUUUUAGACAUGGGUGAAAUCUUCCAGUGAGUAUGGGCGGCACGUGGCCCGAGGACGCACUUGACCCUUUUAGGCUAAAUUUGAUACCCCGAUUCCAUACGUGACAUCCGAUGGACAAAAUUCCAUCGUUCGAACAUAACAUAGUUUCGUUAGGAUCCGUCCCUUGAUCAUUAUAACCAUUGACGAUCCAACCUUUGGAUCGUCACCAAACUUUAAUGCGUUAUAGCAUGCAAUAUUUGAGGACAUUAGAAACUAACGGAUUAGGAAUCCAACGUACGGAUCUUGAUGAAUUGAAAUUUUAAGUUUGUAAAACUAAUUGUUGACCGCCACCUAAUUAUAGCAAUUGGUGAAGAUCCGACUGUUGGAUCAUUCCAAAAUUUUAAGAUAUUGUCCUACAAGAUAAAUUAUACUCUUAGGAAGUUAUGGAUCGAAAAUUCGUGGGUGGAUAUUCUGGAUCGAAUUACAUUGGGGUUAUGGACCCAACCGUUGAUUGAGAGUUGACUUUUAGUCAACAUGUCUCGAAUCGUUUUAAAUACUAAAACUAAUAUUACUAGAGACUAAGUGAAGUCUAGUGGGUCUACAUAGAUUAGUGAGUGACUUUAAGAUAUGUGAUGCGAUUAUUACCUGAUUUCGUAUUUAGUAUCAUUUGUGGAUAGCACUUGAUUUUAUAAAUGUGAUUCUAUUGAAAUGUGAUUUAUAUAUAUUUAGCCAUUGAUCUAUGUUUAUUAAAUGUGAUUUGACUUGUGUAUUGAUGAUGUUUGUGAAAUGUAAUUUGAAGUGCUUGAUUGAUUUGUUUGAUGAAAUGUGAAGGCUAGUAGUGGACCGUUAACCAUUGUCAUGGGGUUUGUUGCUUUGAAGCUUGUUUCAUAUCUCGUUUCAUUGUUUUAUUUCUCGUUUCGUUGAUCUAAAUUUAGUACUUGUGCUUUGUUUCAUUUCGUUGAGCUUUUGUAAAUUGAGUAACUUAAUUCAUAUUUUGUUUCUUCAAGCCGUUGUUAUGCUCCAUGGACUUCCGCUCAGUUCCAUUGAGUGAUCCAAAACUGGGUUCUGUUGGGGUUCCGUUAAGUGGUCAUGUUCCCUCUCUAUCUGGAUUCCGUUAAGUGGUUCGGAAUCCCUUGUACUCUGCGAUUCCGUUGAAUGGUCCAAAAUCGUAUCCUACCUUAAAUUUCGUUAAUUGGUUAUUUAUCCAUUGUACUAUGUUAUUCUGUUGAGUGGUUCGGAAUGGUAUCCACUCGAAUUUCAUUAAGAGGUCCGAAAUCUCUUCUACUCAGCGAUUCCGCUAAUUGGUCUGAAAUCGUAUCCUGGUUUGGAUUUCGUUGAGUGGUCUGGAAUCCUGCUUGGUUUUUUUAUUCAAUUGAAUGGUCCGGAACCUGAUGUUGUUGGAUUUUGUUGAAUGGUCUGAAAUCACAUUCUUCAAAGAUAUAGGCUUCAACCGAACUAUGUCGCUCUAGCCCUGCAUUUUGUGUGUUGUAAGUGUUAUUGAUUGAUGUGAUUGUGGAAUAGUGUUGGAAAGCAUAUGUGUGUGUGAAUGGCAAGAUGACAACUGUUGUUUGGCUUAUGGUUGAUGUGUAGUGUGGUACUCUAUGUUUUAUACUAGGAAGUGAUUACAGAAAGUUUAGAGUUUAACAAAUGGUGAACUACGAAUGGUUUAAUCCCUAUUUAGGGUAUUAGGCAGUCUAACGAGGAGGUUAGAUGCAACCAUAAAGUAUACGAAAAUUACUACGCAAUCCAAAUCUUGAGUUGUGCUUUGUCCAUAUCCCAGAUGUGGGACAUGUUAGAGAUACGGGUUCUUGG
rnacentral:lncRNA from 1 species